rnacentral:rRNA from 1 species
UACGUAGGGCGCAAGCGUUAUCCGGAAUUAUUGGGCGUAAAGAGCUCGUAGGCGGUUUUGUCGCGUCUGCCGUGAAAGUCCGGGGCUCAACUCCGGAUCUGCGGUGGGUACGGGCAGACUAGAGUGAUGUAGGGGAGACUGGAAUUCCUGGUGUAGCGGUGAAAUGCGCAGAUAUCAGGAGGAACACCGGUGGCGAAGGCGGGUCUCUGGGCAGUAACUGACGCUGAGGAGCGAAAGCGUGGGGUAGCAAACAGG